rnacentral:rRNA from 1 species
GACGAACGCUGGCGGCGCGCUUAACACAUGCAAGUCGAACGGAAAGGCCUGCUUUCCCUUGUGGAUUGCGGGUACUCGAGUGGCGAACGGGUGAGUAACACGUGAGUGAUCUGCCCCCAACUUGGGUAUAAGCCUGGGAAACUGGGUCUAAUUCCCGAUAGGACUGCAGGGUGGUGCCUGUGGUGGAAAACGAUGUUCUAGUGGUUGGGGAUGAGCUCGCGGCCUAUCAGCUUGUUGGUGGGGUAAUGGCCUACCAAGGCGGCGACGGGUAGCCGGCCUGGGGGGGUGGACGGCCACAUUGGGACUGAGAUACGGCCCAGACUCCUACGGGAGGCAGCAGUGGGGAAUAUUGCACAAUGGGCGGAAGCCUGAUGCAGCGACGCCGCGUGGGGGAUGACGGCCUUCGGGUUGUAAACUCCUUUCGACCGCGAGGAAGCCACCUGGUUGGAAUGGUGGUGACGGUAGUGGUAGAAGAAGCACCGGCUAACUACGUG